rnacentral:lncRNA from 1 species
CUUUGAGUAAGUGAAAUGAAGCAUGAAUAACUGCCUAAUUAGUGGACAUGAAAACUGGACAGUCUCCAAAGUCAUCAGAGAUGACCACGCUUGCCAGGCAACUUACUAGACUAAGGGUGACGUGCCCAUCAUGCAGGAAGCUUCUCCGAGGCUGGCGAGAGCAACUUGUCUGCUUUGAGAAAUGCAGAUCUAUCAGGAUCCAGAAUCGGACUCUGAAAAAGCUGUCAUUUCAUGUCUCUAAAACAGCCUUUGAUUUAAUGUACAAGAUGUCAAGAAGUAAAGGACAAUAAAAUAAAAACCAAAAAAGGAGAACUAUUUCAAUUAAGAAGCAUUUCUAUAUCAAUUCUUGGAAAUCACAUAAAAUAAAAGCUGUCAGAAUCAA